GGGUAAUGGCACAGCUAGCUACUGGGUGACUUUAUUCACCCGCUUCGGCUGUUAUCAGUCCAUACAAUGGGCGUUAUUAGCACAAACCAGUCCCAUAGAUAUGGGCCAUCUCCUGCUAGAUUGUUCAGAAGGUUGUUCUCAUCCAUCCAGAUGGAGGAUCACUAACAGGAGCGUGGAAGACUCCAGAAUCCACUCUGGCUGGAAUCCGGUGGAUACAGCAGUGUUUACAGUUCUCCACAGUCACUGUCCACAUGGGUCAGUGGGACCAAGAAGCACUCUGCUAAUGUGGGACUCUGACCAGCAACAUCCAGCAGGACCCAGACAGCAUUUUCUAUCUCCCAGCUGGAGUUUUUGUUUGUCAGUGACUGGAGAGUCAGAUUUUUGUUGAGCUUCACACUUGCAGAGGUAAGUCAGUUUGCAGAGAUCCCUCCCACCCUGGCUUUUAUGUGCUAGAUUUCUUAUCUGAAAGAGUAAUAUUUCAGUGACUGCUGCUUAUACCACAGGUUAAUACACUCUACUGAUCCCUGAUGGGAGAAUCAUCAAUUUUGGCAACAAAGAAGCCUGGUGGAUGUUUGUUUACAGUCUGAUGAUGGGACAUCAUGCUCUGCAUCUUCAAAGUUUGCCUCCUCAUUAUUAUUCAUACCCAGUAAUGUGAAGUAUGCUUAUAUCUACUAUAACUGAACCAACCUG
ensembl:lncRNA